GAUGAACGCUAGCGGCAGGCCUAAUACAUGCAAGUCGGACGGGAUUGGAGAGCUUGCUUUCCAUGAGAGUGGCGCACGGGUGCGUAACACGUAUGUAACCUACCUUGUUCAGGGGGAUAGCCUCUCGAAAGAGAGAUUAAGACCGCAUAACAUUGCAAUGUGGCAUCACAAAGCAAUCAAAUAUUUAUAGGAACAAGAUGGGCAUGCGGAACAUUAGCUAGUUGGUAAGGUAACGGCUUACCAAGGCUACGAUGUUUAGGGGAUCUGAGAGGAU
rnacentral:rRNA from 1 species